ensembl:ncRNA W01B6.15 ncRNA
AUCCUCCGCCGCCUGAAAAUGUAUUCAAAUACUUAAACUCUGUGAACCAAGAUCCUUACCUCCGCCUCCGCCUCCUCCAGCUCCUCCAGUGGAAUAAGCUUGACGAGCAACACGAGUAUUGUUUCCUGGAGCAUCCUUAAUAAGAUGCAC